rnacentral:rRNA from 1 species
UACGUAGGCAGCGAGCGUUGUUCGGAGUUACUGGGCGUAAAGAAUGCGUAGGCGGUUUUCUAAGUUUGGUGUGAAAUCUCCCGGCUCAACUGGGAGGGUGCGCCGAAGACUGGAAGGCUUGAGUAUGGGAGAGGUAAGCGGAAUUCCUGGUGUAGCGGUGAAAUGCGUAGAUAUCAGGAGGAACACCAAUGGCGAAGGCAGCUCGCUGGGACGGUACUGACGCUGAGACGCGAAAGCGUGGGGAGCAAACAGG